GUUACAAAUGAGCAGAUAAAGAAAAAGCCUGGAUACACACACACACACACACACACACACACACACACACACACAGGGAUGCCCCUUUCCCCCCACCUACUUGUUUAGCAAAUGGGUUAGCAAAGGUAUUGUAUUGUGUUGUCCUCAGAAUUACUGACCAGAGUAAAGACAGGAAAUCCAUAUUUUCAUAGGAAGCAAGGAAGUCAGUUCUGUAGUUAGGCCAGAGGGAAAAAAGAGAGAGGGCAGAUUACCAAGGGUGGAAGACUUUAGCAUUAAGUACAAAUGAUGUAAGUAAAAAAUAAGGAAAAAAAAAUACACUAAUUAUAAUUAUUCGGCCAUACCAACUCUGAAAACUUGGAUGGUAUUGUUUUUGGUAUAACUUUGUAAAUAUUUCACUUGUUUGCAUAUACAUCAAUUGAUGGCCACAUUUUGUCGUGCUGUAUAUUGUAUAUCUAUACUACGGAAUUAAAAGUGGACUGAAAUGGUUCAAAGAAAUUGUUUUCCCUAAGCUCCAAAUCGAGCCUAUGCUCAUUUUGGGGAGUUUAAAACAUUUGAUUGGCUAUAUAUUCUUAUUUUAUUAAUUAUACAGACCUCCUACAUAACUCCUAAAUUUGGCUGUUCCAAGGAUGAGGCCUCGCAAGUCUUCUUAGAGAAGAACCAGUGUUCUGUUUUUUUUUUUUCCUUCUAUGAUGUUUAAAACCAGGAAUCUCCUUAGAAGGUUUGGUUUCCUUAGACCUACAACAUUUUUUUCCAAAUCCAACAAAGAACUUUGAUAAUGAGACAGAAAUUUUGUUCUCAGUACCUGGGCUUAUUCAUACAUUUUUGGGUUCAUCUAUCAAAUCCAGUAUAGCAGUCCUAGCCCAGGAAACUAAACUUACCUCAGUUGCUCCCCUAAGGAGGGGCCUUGCAGUGUUAAAUCCAGCAUAGCAGUCCUAGCCUAGGAAACUAAACUUACCUCAGUUGCUCCCCUAAAAAGGGGCCUUGCAGUGUUCCAUAGAGGGUCUACAGGUUAAGCAGCUAAGAGAUCAGAGUUAUCAUAAUUAGACUCAAAAGGAUGGGAGAAAGCAAAUGUUCUGCUUUCCCCAAGAGUAAGACCAAAAAAGGAAAUAGUGAAGAGAGCUUAAGAAAACUCAAGAAAAAAUAUGUCAGUAAAAUUCACUCUUUUCUCCUUGUCCCAAAUAUCCACUUUUAUCAAAGCCUAUGAGAUUGUAUCUCUAUAUAAUGUAUUUAGUCUCCAAGUUAGUCUUCCUGCCGGUUAUCAACUAGCAGAUUGAUUUUAGGAUAUUAGAUAGACCCCUAGGAAAUUCUCAUUUCAGUAGAACAAAAAUGGUUAAACAUUGGCAAUUUAAUAUGGUUCAGUUGGAUUCUUCACUUAUUUCAGUAUAUAUAUUUUUUCCUGGUACAAAAUUCAAUAGCUUAUGGAUUGAAACCAAAAAUCUGAAAUAUGGAACCCAAGUGUGCCUCUUACCUAACAGAUAUUACGCCUCCCUGUCCUUUAGCCAGUGAAGACCUUCUCCAUAGUACCUGCUUUAUCUAGAUAGAUAGAAUGUACAGAAUUUGCCUCUGCAAUGUUCAUUUUUGAAAUUCCUUUUUUGCCUCUAAUUUUCCAUUCCUUCUACAUUCUUUCUGUAUAUGCUACAAAUUCCAUACCUCCCUCAAAUACCUGUGGACAAAUCUCUAUUAAGCAGAAAGAUUCCCUGAAAAUUCAUACUUCAUUGAAACUCCCUGUCCUAGAGUAUCCCUUCAAAUGUAUGAUUAUACUUAGCUCAGUAAUAUCAUGAAUAUCAGUAUAGAUAUAUACUGUUUUAGUAGACCUCAUUGUUUCAUAUUGUGGGUGCCUUUAUAUGCUUGAGUGAACCUAAAGUACUUCUAGGAUUAAAAUAUCUUAGGUUUUUGAGUUAUCUAUUAAUUUAUCUGUUUGGCGACAUCUACCCCAAAUGUGUCCAUCCUAAAGGAGAUCAGUCCUGGGUGUUCAUUGGAAGGACUGAUGCUGAAGCUGAAACUCCAGUACUUUGGCCACCUCAUGCGAAGAGCUGACUCAUUGGAAAAGACCCUGAUGCUGGGAGGGAUUGGAGGCAGGAGGAGAAGGGGACAACAGAGGAUGAGAUGGCUGGAUGGCAUCACUGACUCGAUGGACAUGAGUUUGAGUAAACUCCGGGAGUUGGUGAUGGACAGGGAGGCCUGGCGUGCUGCAAUUCAUGGGGUCACAAAGAGUCAGACACUACUGAGCGCUUGAACUGAACCCCAAAUGUGUGGAAUAGGUCUGACACACCAAGGCAAACCAUGCUAGUUAAAUCAGCCCUUCUCCAGUAGUUUAUUCUGUGAGGUAAUCACAAAAUGCCAAUCUAGGCAUUCUGAACAGCCUUUAAAUAACAACUUCCCUUCCAACUCUCUGGGAUAGCAAUUUGUGAGUACAUAUCACUCCAGUAAGUACUGGUUAUGGGUCAUGAAAAAAGGAAAAAUAACACAAUGGCAAUCAGCCAGACUCUCCUUCCUAAGCCAGCCUCCAGUGCUGAUUGUUUCAAACCAUUACUUCCCCAGUCUACCUGUUAGUAAAGACACACACCAGGCACACUGGAAAUUACUAUUAUUGGAGACCAUUAAACAUCAUCAUAACAAUAAAAGCCAAAAGUCAAUGAGCACUUACUAUAUGCCAGGCGCCAUUCUAAACUCCUUAAAGCCUUAUCUCAUUGAGUCCUCACCACCCCCUGUGAGGUCUGUGCCCCUGAAGAAAUGGAGGGAGAGCUGGCUAGCAACUCACCCAAGUUCAAUCACUGGAAAGGGAUGGGGUUUAAACCAGGCACCAGAUCUGCCUACUUGUGUAUGCUCUUCUGGCAAAUGGAAGGCCUGGAUACAGCACAUAAUUAUGCUCCAAGCUUACCGAUUUGCCCAAGAUCACACAGCUACUGUCUCACUGAACCAGGACUGAAACACAGUGGCUUCACUUCUAGUUGGCUCUUAACCCAAUAGUCUUCCAACAAAACUCUACUGUGGUUCAUGAACAAGAUGAGAAGAAGGAAGUUCAGUAGGAGGAGGAGAAGUUCUAUUUUGGGUUCAUGGAUAAAAGGUUCAUUAUAUUUCAAAUUUAACUACUGAGCCAUGGCUUUCUUUAGAAAAGAGGAAAAAUCUUGCCCUGAUGCUAGGAAAAAUAGAAAAUGGGAAGUAUGAGGCUUUAUUUUGUACCUGGCCCUGCCCUGCUUUUGGAGCCAUUUCAGGUUAUAAAUAUGCACUAUUCAUAUGUGAUUUUUCCACUGACUGUGGGUGUCUUAAGGCCUUUCAGGCAAUGGUGAAAACUGUCCACAAUUGGAAUUUCUCCAAGUAUAAUGGAAAUUUGUCCCAUAGAUGACUGCAGUGCAGUUCAUGUUUCCAGAGGACUGGGAAAAGUAGAAGUACUUUUAAGACAGACAAUAGUGAAGAGAUUCCAAAGAUGAGCAGCCCUGAUUUAUAGCUUAGUGAGAUUUUACUAGUCCAGGAACAAGCAAGGAAAUAAACAUAUAAAAAAGAUGAAAACUAAGAACAGAAAAUUACCACAAUACUGGCUUUGGCUGCUGUUUCUGGUACAGAUUGCUUGUAGACGACUCUGAUUUAGACUCAUCAGUUCAUUCAUUUCUUCAUGUAUUUAUUUUUGAAAAUUUUCCUGGACCUUGAGAACCAAACUGACCCUGCAGCUCUUCUCUCUGUCUGGCUCUUGAGAAAAGAGGCAAAGUUCCUGUAAAGGAAAACACCCCUCUCCUGUGUGGCUUUUAUGUUUUAUGACAUAGGCUUAAUUGAUUAGAUCUUUGAUCGUUGAUAAAUGAACUCCAUCUCCAGCCCCUUCCCUUUCCUGGAGAUCAGCGGUGGGGCUGAAACUUCCAAACCUCUGUUCACUUGGUUGGUUUCCCUGGCAACCAGCUCCAACACUUAGGGGCUAUGUAAAAGUUACCUCAGAUGGCGCUAGUGGUAAAGAAUCCACCUGCCCGUACAGGUAGAUAUAACAGACAUGAGUUUGAUCCCUGGGUUGGGAAGAUCCCCCGGAGAAGGAAAUGACAACCCACUUCAGUAUUCUUGCAUGGAAAAUCCCAUGGACUGACAGCUUGGUGGGCUACAGUUCAUGGGGUCACAAGAGUUGGAAACAAUUUAGCAUCUAAACCACCUCCAAAGGUUACCUCAUUAAUAUAGAUUCAG
ensembl:lncRNA